UUGUUACUGAUUCGUUCAUACUACUGAAGUACUGGAGAGAUGGGGAACACACAGAGUAACUUUAAGAAGCAAACUAAUGAAUCUGAUAAAGACAAGGACAAAUUAUUGGUAAGUCAAAAUGCCGGUGUACCGUUAUUGGACACGCUGCGUAGGCGAGUAUUAAGUACUUUGUAUGAUCAUAAAGUUUAAUUAAAUUUUUGAAAAAUAUUCUUUUAAUUAAAAAACUAAGAGGUCUUUCUCCAUAGCUACUUCAAGCCUUCAUUUUCAGGUAAAAAUGUUUAAAGAGCAGCGCUACUAGAAGAAGCUUGCAAAGUGGAAAUAUGGCAGGCUAGCAGUAUUGUGCCAUAUUACUUGUCAUAAGUCACUUGCAAGAAGAAAAAAAA